rnacentral:rRNA from 1 species
AGGCUGAGGGUGGAAGCGCAGCAAUGCGUGGAGCUGAUCAGUACUAAUCGGUCGAGGGCUUAUCCUC